rnacentral:rRNA from 1 species
GCAGGUUGAAGGUUGGGUAACACUAACUGGAGGACCGAACCGACUAAUGUUGAAAAAUUAGCGGAUGACUUGUGGCUGGGGGUGAAAGGCCAAUCAAACCGGGAGAUAGCUGGUUCUCCCCGAAAGCUAUUUAGGUAGCGCCUCGUGAACUCAUCUUCGGGGGUAGAGCACUGUUUCGGCUAGGGGGCCAUCCCGGCUUACCAACCCGAUGCAAACUACGAAUACCGAAGAAUGUUAUCACGGGAGACACACGGCGGGUGCUAACGUCCGUCGUGAAAAGGGAAACAACCCAGACCGCCAACUAA